rnacentral:rRNA from 1 species
CCUACGGGUGGCAGCAGUGGGGAAUAUUGGACAAUGGGCGCAACCCUGACCCAGCAACGCCGCGUGAAUGAAGAAGCCUUUCGGGUUGUAAACUUCUUUUCGCAGGGACGAAGCAAGUGACGGUACCUGAGGAAUAAGCCACGGCUAACUACGUGCAAGCAGCCGCGGUAAUACGUAGGUGGCAAGCGUUAUCCGGAUUUACGGGGUGUAAAGGGCGUGUAGGCGGGGACGCAAGUCAGAUGUGAAAGCCACGGGCUCAACCUGUGGACUGCAUUUGAAACUGUGUUUCUUGAGUACUGGAGAGGCAGACGGAAGUCCUGGUGUAGCGGUGAAAUGCGUAGAUAUUAGGAGGAACACCAGUGGCGAAGGCGGUCUGCUGGACAGCAACUGACGCUGAGGCGCGAAAGCGUGGGGAGCAAACAGGAUUAGAUACCCUAGUAGUC